rnacentral:sRNA from 1 species
GCGGGGGCUGAGCGAAAGGCUGAGGACCGGGUCCGGGCCGGGUUCCUGGUCGGGGAGCGGCUCCGGGCGGCAGCCAUGAGGCGGGACGUGCGCAUCCUGUUACUGGGCGAGGCCCAGGUGGGGAAGACGUCGCUGAUCCUGUCCCUGGUGGGCGAGGAGUUCCCCGAGGAGGUAAAGGGCACGCCCGCCGCGGGGGUGGGAGCGGGCCCAGCCGGGGGUCCCUGGUGAGCGCGCGGGUCCCUUGCAGGUCCCUCCCCGCGCGGAGGAGAUCACGAUCCCCGCGGACGUCACCCCGGAGAAGGUGCCCACCCACAUCGUGGACUACUCAGGUAGCGGCCGUAGCCUCCCGGGGGCCCGGCCCGGAGCGGUCCGGCGGGCCUGCUGGGUCUGCAGUGGGGUCUCUUUCUCCCCCUAGAAGCCGAGCAGACGGACGAGGAGCUGCGCGAGGAGAUCCACAAGAUUCGAACUAAGUGGAUCCCACUGGUGAAUGGGGGGACCACGCGGGGGCCCAGGUAAUGAGGGGGAUGUGGAAGGGGCUGGGACCCCCGGCUCCCCUGCCCCUGGUGACCAUGGGCCUUCAACCCAGGGUGCCCAUCAUCCUAGUGGGCAACAAGUCAGACCUGCGGUCGGGGAGCUCCAUGGAGGCCGUGCUCCCCAUCAUGAGCCAGUUUCCGGAGAUCGAGACCUGCGUGGAGUGUUCGGCCAAGAACCUGAGAAACAUCUCAGAGCUGUUCUACUACGCCCAGA